UUUUUGAAUUUUACACCAAUAUGAUUAUUUUCGAAGUAUUUUUGGACAUGGGUAAAACAUAGUACGAAUCCUUAAUCCUUAAUCCUUGUCAUUUUGUUUCACUGGAUUCGUUUCUUUAAAAAUGUUUUUCAUCAUCCUCAGUCCUAAAUGAUGAUAUAAAUGAAUAUCUUUGGCCUGUAGUGCAAAGAUGAACGAUUAACUGAUGAAUAUCUUUGGCCUGUAGUGCAAAGAUGAACAGGUGUUGAGAUGAACAUGACCAACUGG
rnacentral:lncRNA from 1 species